GGGCAUUUCUAGGGAAAGAAAAGAAAACAAACCUUUGGGUCUAGAGGGCAGCCAGUCAAGAUUUUCAGAUGUUAGACUUGAAGCAUCUUCAUAUGGAGCGAGAGCAGACAGUGGCAAUCUGGGAUUUUUCCGGUUCACAGUUUGCAUCCGAACCUCAGACUGGACUUUCUAAAAGCCUCUCAGGUCUCAGGAGCCAAGCCAAGGACUCACCUCAGGACUGUACUUACACAAACAACUGUUUUGCCUUCAAACUAGAACACUCGCAGUUGCCAAAUUUUGGAGGGAUC
rnacentral:lncRNA from 1 species